rnacentral:rRNA from 1 species
UGGGGAAUAUUGGACAAUGGGCGAAAGCCUGAUCCAGCCAUGCCGCGUGAAUGAUGAAGGCCUUAGGGUUGUAAAGUUCUUUUGCCAGGGAAGAUAAUGACGGUACCUGGAGAAUAAGCACCGGCUAACUUCGUGCCAGCAGCCGCGGUAAUACGAAGGGUGCUAGCGUUGUUCGGAAUUACUGGGCGUAAAGAGCGCGUAGGCGGUCGUACUAGUCAGGGGUGAAAUCCCACAGCUUAACUGUGGAACUGCCUUUGAAACUGUGCGGCUGGAGUGUGUGAGGGGAUAGCGGAAUUCCUAAUGUAGAGGUGAAAUUCGUAGAUAUUAGGAGGAACACCGGUGGCGAAGGCGGCUAUCUGGCGCACAACUGACGCUGAGGCGCGAAAGCGUGGGGAUCAAACAGGAUUAGAUACCCCUGUAGUCC